UAUUUUUCGUAGGCACACAUGGCGGGUUGGUGAUGGCGAUACAGCUCAAUCGUAUGCUAGAAUUGCUCCGCUGGUUUUACAAUAAUUUGUCGGAUAAACCACAAUUUAUAUAAUCAAUCAUCAUCGAGUUGUGUGUUCAAUUUACUCACGCCUUCAUCUCGAUCCAAUUCAUCGUGACCAAGAAGAGAGAGCAAUGGAGAAGAUCUCAAACACUGACGCUGUAAAUGGAGAGGUUAACGAUGGAAAAGACGCUAUUAACGAUGCCUCGGUCUGUGGUUACGACUCGCUUCAUCAACUCCUUGCCGCAAAUCUCAAACCUCAGAUAUUCCAGGAAGUUAGCCGGUUGCUAUUAGGGCUUAACUGUGGAAAGCCGCUUCAAACUGUUUCUCUUGCAGAGCCUGUGAAGAGUCUUUCUCUAAAGCAUGAUUUUGACCUCCAGGCUUUCCGCUUUAUUGCUGACAAGGAAUCAGUGAGAGUACCUCGAAUAGUAAGGGUGGGUCUUAUCCAAAAUUCUAUUGCCCUUCCAACAACUGCCCCCUUUUCAGACCAAAAGAGGGCUAUUCUUGAGAAAGUAAAGCCAAUUAUUGAUGCAGCAGGUGCUUCUGGAGUCAACAUAUUAUGCUUGCAAGAAGCAUGGAUGAUGCCAUUUGCUUUUUGUACCCGUGAGAAGCGGUGGUGUGAAUUUGCAGAGCCAAUUGAUGGGGAAUCGACAAGGUUUCUACAGGAUCUUGCAUUAAAAUACAACAUGGUCAUUGUAAGUUCCAUUCUUGAGAGAGAUGUUAGUCAUGGAGAAACUUUGUGGAAUACUGCUGUUGUUAUUGGAAAUCAUGGAAACAUAAUUGGCAAGCAUCGCAAGAACCAUAUACCAAGAGUUGGCGACUUUAAUGAGAGCACGUACUACAUGGAAGGAAACACCGGGCAUCCUGUGUUCGAGACAGCCUAUGGUAAAAUUGCGAUAAAUAUAUGUUAUGGGAGGCACCACCCUUUAAACUGGUUAGCUUUCGGCUUAAAUGGAGCUGAGAUAGUUUUCAACCCUUCUGCAACUGUUGGUGAACUCAGUGAACCAAUGUGGCCUAUUGAGGCCCGAAAUGCUGCAAUAGCAAAUAGUUAUUUUGUUGGAUCGAUCAAUCGUGUAGGGACCGAGACGUUCCCGAACCCUUUCACUUCGGGGGACGGGAAACCGCAGCAUACAGAUUUUGGUCACUUCUAUGGGUCCAGCCAUUUCUCUGCACCAGAUGCAUCUUGCACUCCCUCACUCUCCCGUUCCCGAGAUGGUUUAUUAAUCUCAGACAUGGAUCUUAACUUGUGUAGGCAGCUGAAAGAUAAAUGGGGAUUCCGAAUGACUGCUCGGUAUGAGAUGUAUGCCGAAACGCUUGCUCGGUAUCUAAAGCCCGAGUUUGAGCCUCAAGUCAUCUCUGAUCCUUUGUUGCACAAGAAGGCUUCUUGAAGGAAGUAUGAUCACUUGGAAAGACUGGAAAAGAAGCCUAUAUGUAAGUUGAACAAGUAAGCUCACUUUCCCUUAUGUUUGUAAGCUUUGAACAUGUGACUCUUUGUUCUAAGCAAAUGUCGCCUUGCAAAGUGUAGUUAAGAUAUACACAAUCAAGCAGCAGAGUAAUAAGAACUUUCAAUGAAUUUAGUAUAAUAAUUAUGGUGAUUCCCAAUAAAAAGUCAUAUCAUAUGACCACAUAUUUACUUAGCUUA